rnacentral:rRNA from 1 species
GACGAACGCUGGCGGCGUGCUUAACACAUGCAAGUCGAGCGGAAAGGCCACUUCGGUGGUACUCGAGCGGCGAACGGGUGAGUAACACGUGAGUAAUCUGCCCCUCACUUUGGGAUAGCCACCGGAAACGGUGAUUAAUACCGGAUAUGACCAUAUGUCGCAUGGCGUGUGGUGGAAAGUUUUUCGGUGAGGGAUGUGCUCGCGGCCUAUCAGCUUGAUGGUGAGGUAAUGGCUCACCAUGGCUUCGACGGGUAGCCGGCCUGAGAGGGUGACCGGUCACACGGGGAAGGGGACACGGCCCAGACCCCUAGGGGGGGGAGGAGGGGGAAAUUUUGGAAAAUGGGCGGAAGCCUGAUCCAAAAACGCCGGGUGGGGGAUGAGGGCCUUCGGGUUGUAAACCUUUUUCAGUACCGACGAAGCGCAAGGGACGGGAGGUACAAAAAAAGCACCGGCAAACUACGG